UUUUAUUUUAUGAAGUUAGUUUUUUUUAUUGCCUUCCCAAAUAGAGUACAACAAUAUUAGCCAACCAGUCCACCAAGUUACAGCUGAGUUGGCCAGAUUUUAAGGGAAAGUCAAAUCAAAAUAAAAAUGAACAAACAAAAACAAUGAAAAUGUAUGUUGAUGAAUUAAAAACAAUGUCACGACUGCUGUACACAUUGAAGACAGAAUAUUAUGGACAAAAAUAAGUAAUAACAGUCAUGUGGAAUUUUUCAUUGUGAUGCUGCAAUAUUCGCAGAGCAGACAUUAUUACCAAAAGAGAAUCACGCACAGAGCCAAAUAUAUUACAUUAGCAGUUUUACUUCCAUUAGUUAGGUCAGAGGUCACACGUUUAACCUAUAAGUUCAAACAAUAGGUGGUUCUAUAGAUCUAAUAGAAAGAGCCCCAGAGUCAACAUGACUUAUAAUUUAGCAAGGGGGGGGGGGGGGGG